rnacentral:tRNA from 1 species
GAGACAGUGGCACAACGGAUAACGCACCUGACUGCGGAUCAGGUGAUUCCAUGUUCGAGUCCUGGCUGGCUCG